GAUGAACGCUGGCGGCGUGCUUAACACAUGCAAGUCGAACGGAAAGGCCCAAGCUUGCUUGGGUACUCGAGUGGCGAACGGGUGAGUAACACGUGGGUGAUCUGCCCUGCACUUCGGGAUAAGCCUGGGAAACUGGGUCUAAUACCGGAUAGGACGAUGGAUUGGAUGCCAUUGUGGAAAGGUUUUUCGGUGUGGGAUGAGCUCGCGGCCUAUCAGCUUGUGGGUGGGGUAAUGGCCUACCAAGGCGUCGACGGGUAGCCGGCCGGAGAGGGUGUACGGCCUCAUUGGGAUUGUGAACCGGGCCCGGCUCCUACAGGGGGCAGCAGUGGGGAAUGUUGCACAAUGGGCGCCAGCCUGAUGCGGCGACGCCGCGUGGGCGAUGACGGCCUUCGGGUUGUAAACUCCUGGUGCGAGGGGCGCUGCGUUUUUGUGACGAUACCUUGAGAAGAAGCACCGGCUAACUUCGUG
rnacentral:rRNA from 1 species